UCAAGAGUCCAAAGAUAAAGUCCAAAAGAGUCUAUGCCUGCUAAAUGCAGCAAAAAAAAAUGAAAAGACAGCAAAUAAUGGUGCAGUAUAUCCCAACCUGUUGGGAUAUACUGCACCAUUAUUUGCUGUCUUUUUUCAUUUUUUUUUCAUAUGGAUUUCACGAAUAUCCCAUGUCCAUACAUUACUGAGGAAUACUUCCCCUGACAAGAUUGUGACCGACUUCUUAUACAAGGUUUUUUUGGACUUUUUUUUUUGCUGCAUUUAUCAGGCAUAGACUUUUUUGGACUUUAUCUUUGGACUCUUGAUUAUUAUUCAUUAUCCAUAUUUCAAGCUCUUUUUGUUUUUUUUAUCUUGUAUGUAUUUUCUCUUGUAUAGUGUCUUGUAUAUGUGCUUGUAUAGUUUAUAAUCAGGUUUAUUUAUUUAUAUUUUAUUUCACCUGUGGCGCCACCUCCCCUUUCACCUUUUUUAGUUCAGUAGUGCAUUGCCUGGAAGUAGGUACAUGAUCCCACAGCUCAUGGUUCAUAUGGAAUAGAUUACUUUAUGCUUACAUCUGCCACAUAUUUCACCUGAGCAAAUACUGCUUUAGUCCUUACUAGGGUGAAUUAAAUAUAUUGAAUUGUCACAAACAAAAAUGUAGUGAUAUUUAUUUAAAGCUUGCAACAAAUCGGUAGAGGGUUGAUAUAACAGUAAUCACAACACUGUAAAGUCUGCAUUGUUAAUUUAUCCACAAGAGUGAGAAGUUUGUGGACGCUUCUCAAUAUAUUCAAUAAUCUAAAAUAAAUACAUUUUAUUGUGCUUUUCUUUGCACAGUGAGAUAAUUACAAAUUGAAAUUACAUUUUAAUAUUUUUUUACAGAAGAUUUUUUUUCAUGUUGUAAGUAUUGUACAUUUUUUCAAGUCACUUUAUUCUGUACAUUUUAUUCUAUAUUUAAAAUUCUGUCCCUCUCCCCCAGCUUGUGAGCUCAUUUUUAUCGAUUAUCUCCCUACCUUCCAUGCAUAUAGUAAAAAUAAUAUUAAAGUAAAA